GACGAACGCUGGCGGCGUGCUUAACACAUGCAAGUCGAACGGUAAGGCCCUUCGGGGUACACGAGUGGCGAACGGGUGAGUAACACGUGGGUGAUCUGCCCUGCACUUCGGGAUAAGCCUGGGAAACUGGGUCUAAUACCGGAUAGGGCCACUGCCUGCAUGGGUGGUGGUGGAAAGCUUUUGCGGUGUGGGAUGGGCCCGCGGCCUAUCAGCUUGUUGGUGGGGUGAUGGCCAACCAAGGCGACGACGGGUAGCCGGCCUGAGAGGGUGACCGGCCACACUGGGACUGAGAUACGGCCCAGACUCCUACGGGAGGCAGCAGUGGGGAAUAUUGCACAAUGGGCGCAAGCCUGAUGCAGCGACGCCGCGUGAGGGAUGACGGCCUUCGGGUUGUAAACCUCUUUCAGCACCGACGAAGCGCAAGUGACGGUAGGUGCAGAAGAAGGACCGGCCAACUACGUGCCAGCAGCCGCGGUAA
rnacentral:rRNA from 1 species